CCUACGGGCGGCAGCAGUAGGGAAUAUUGGGCAAUGGGCGCAAGCCUGACCCAGCAACGCCGCGUGAAGGAAGAAGGCUUUCGGGUUGUAAACUUCUUUUGACAGGGAAGAGCAUAAGACGGUACCUGUCGAAUAAGCCACGGCUAACUACGUGCCAGCAGCCGCGGUAAUACGUAGGUGGCAAGCGUUGUCCGAAUGUACUGGGUGUAAAGGGCGUGUAGCCGGGCUGACAAGUCAGAUGUGAAAUCCUGGUGCUCAACCCCCGAACUGCAUUUGAAACUGUUGGUCUUGAGUAUCGGAGAGGCAGGCGGAAUUCUUAGUGUAGCGGUGAAAUGCGUAGAUAUUAGGAGGAACACCAGUGGCGAAGGCGGCCUGCUGGACGACAACUGACGGUGAGGCGCGAAAGCGUGGGGAGCAAACAGGAUUAGAUACCCCUGUAGUC
rnacentral:rRNA from 1 species